AACGAACGCUGGCGGCAGGCUUAACACAUGCAAGUCGAACGCCCCGCAAGGGGAGUGGCAGACGGGUGAGUAACGCGUGGGAAUCUACCCAUCCCUACGGAACAACUCCGGGAAACUGGAGCUAAUACCGUAUACGCCCUACGGGGGAAAGAUUUAUCGGGGAUGGAUGAGCCCGCGUUGGAUUAGCUAGUUGGUGGGGUAAAGGCCUACCAAGGCGACGAUCCAUAGCUGGUCUGAGAGGAUGAUCAGCCACAUUGGGACUGAGACACGGCCCAAACUCCUACGGGAGGCAGCAGUGGGGAAUAUUGGACAAUGGGCGCAAGCCUGAUCCAGCCAUGCCGCGUGAGUGAUGAGGGUCUUAGGAUUGUAAAGCUCUUUCACCGAUGAAGAUAAUGACGGUAGUCGGAGAAGAAGCCCCGGCUAACUUCGUGCCAGCAGCCGCGGUAA
rnacentral:rRNA from 1 species